UGAUGAUCCUGCCCUUGACUCUGGGAUAAGCCUGGGAAACUGGGUCUAAUACUGGAUACUACCUCUUACCGCAUGGUGGGUGGUGGAAAGGGUUUUACUGGUUUUGGAUGGGCUCACGGCCUAUCAGCUUGUUGGUGGGGUAAUGGCUCACCAAGGCGACGACGGGUAGCCGGCCUGAGAGGGUGACCGGCCACACUGGGACUGAGACACGGCCCAGACUCCUACGGGAGGCAGCAGUGGGGAAUAUUGCACAAUGGGCGGAAGCCUGAUGCAGCGACGCCGCGUGAGGGAUGACGGCCUUCGGGUUGUAAACCUCUUUCAGUAGGGAAGAAGCGAGAGUGACGGUACCUGCAGAAGAAGCGCCGGCUAACUACGUGCCAGCAGCCGCGGUAAUACGUAGGGCGCAAGCGUUGUCCGGAAUUAUUGGGCGUAAAGAGCUCGUAGGCGGUUUGUCGCGUCUGCUGUGAAAGCCCGGGGCUCAACCCCGGGUCUGCAGUGGGUACGGGCAGACUAGAGUGCAGUAGGGGAGACUGGAAUUCCUGGUGUAGCGGUGAAAUGCGCAGAUAUCAGGAGGAACACCGAUGGCGAAGGCAGGUCUCUGGGCUGUUACUGACGCUGAGGAGCGAAAGCAUGGGGAGCGAACAGGAUUAGAUACCCUGGUAGUCCAUGCCGUAAACGUUGGGCACUAGGUGUGGGGGACAUUCCACGUUUUCCGCGCCGUAGCUAACGCAUUAAGUGCCCCGCCUGGGGAGU
rnacentral:rRNA from 1 species